AGCAUUCUGGAUAACAGGUCCAAUGCCUGUACUGAUCUUAUAAUCAAAAAAACCUUGGAUAUUUUCAUUCAAACCCCAGGCCUUAGGUCCUCACCAUCAUCAUCAUCAUUUAUUUAUAAAACAAUAUUUAUGCUAAACUGUUGUCAGCAUUGCAUAACAUUCCCAAGCUGUGAAUAGAUGAAAUACAAUAUUACAUUCCCUGACAUGUCAGCCUGUAUCUCUUUCCUACAGAGUGUCGCUGGGCGGAGCUUUCUCUUUUGCAUUGCUUGUGGGAGGUACUAAGUGCUGACAAACUAGAGACAUUUCUAUUGGAACACAGCAAUGCUUCCUGCCUGUCAUUGCUAUGGAAUUCACAAAGGACUUGCACAGCAGAUCAGACGCAGAGACGCUCCAGAGACAGUGGAAAACACACAGUGAAAGGGAUUAAGAGAAAGACUGAGACAACAGAAUGGAACCCAAAGCAGCUCACUGACCGGUUUCUCCUCCGAGGCACUGGGAGUGUCCACUGUUCUUUGGCUUCCUCCUACAGAACGCAUUGAGAUAGAAUAUGGAUUAUUUUCGGGGUUCAGCUUUUGUCACUACCGUUCACACACAAACACCCUCUCCUGAAACUCUCCAUUCGAUAACAAGCUAUAAAAUGUGAAAUCUGAGGAAGCCCUCAGCAAUUGUACAAAUGUCUAUAUUUGAAUAUUUCAAAAUAUUAUUAAACAAGAAGUUCUAAUGA